GAUGAACGCUGGCGGCGUGCCUAACACAUGCAAGUCGAGCGAGAUUUAUGUGAGUGGAGACUUCGGUCAAAGCAAUCAUAAUGAAAGCGGCGGACGGGUGAGUAACGCGUGAGCAAUCUGCCCCAUACAAAGGGAUACCCACUGGAAACGGUGAUUAAUACCUUAUAAGACCACGAAGUCGCAUGGCUACGGGGUUAAAGAUUUAUCGGUAUGGGAUGAGCUCGCGUCUGAUUAGCUAGUUGGUGAGGUAAUGGCUCACCAAGGCGACGAUCAGUAGCCGACCUGAGAGGGUGAACGGCCACACUGGAACUGGGACACGGUCCAGACUCCUACGGGAGGCAGCAGUGGGGAAUAUUGCACAAUGGGCGCAAGCCUGAUGCAGCAACGCCGCGUGAAUGAUGAAGGCCUUCGGGUCGUAAAGUUCUGUCCAAAGGGAAGAAUACAGUGACGGUACCUUUGGAGGAAGCCCCGGCUAACUACGUGCCAGCCGCCGCGGUAAAAC
rnacentral:rRNA from 1 species